CGUGCCGGGGGGAGAAACCCUGAAUGCAGCGAGCCGCGUGAGCGAAGAAGUAUUUCGGUAUGUAAAGCUCUAUCAGCAGGGAAGAAAAUGACGGUACCUGACUAAGAAGCACCGGCUAAAUACGUGCCAGCAGCCGCGGUAAUACGUAUGGUGCAAGCGUUAUCCGGAUUUACUGGGUGUAAAGGGAGCGUAGACGGUUGUGUAAGUCUGAUGUGAAAGCCCGGGGCUCAACCCCGGGACUGCAUUGGAAACUAUGUAACUAGAGUGUCGGAGAGGUAAGCGGAAUUCCUAGUGUAGCGGUGAAAUGCGUAGAUAUUAGGAGGAACACCAGUGGCGAAGGCGGCUUACUGGACGAUCACUGACGUUGAGGCUCGAAAGCGUGGGGAGCAAACAGGAUUAGAUACCCUGGUAGUCCACGCCGUAAACGAUGACUACUAGGUGUCGGGGAGCAAAGCUCUUCGGUGCCGCAGCAAACGCAAUAAGUAGUCCACCUGGGGAGUACGUUCGCAAGAAUGAAACUCAAAGGAAUUGACGG
rnacentral:rRNA from 1 species